UCUCCUCCCCCGUCCCCCAGACUUAACACAGGCAGCAUUGUGGAAUCACAUUGAGGAGAAAAGAAAUAAACAAGGGGAAAAGCUUAACAAAAGGCAAGCAUUGACUACCAACAUAAACCAAACUCGAAAUUGAGAGUAACAUAUGAAAGAAGCGAUUUGAGAGGGAUUCUUAAAUCCAGAUGGUAGUUGUGACAGAUGAAUGGCUCAGCACCUGAGAAGCAGUGGCUCUGGGAUUGACUCAGAAUGGACUGCAGGGAAGAUGCUACUGAUGCUUGGUGGUAGCAGGACUAGAGGAGUUUGGGCCUGCCAGAUUCCCACCAUCACAGUAGACCCCAAGCCAAGAUGCUGGCCUUGCACUGAACUUCCCUCAGAAUGUCUACAGGGGCGAGGUAACUUAUGUGGCCUCUCCAUAUUGGUCUGCAGAAUCGUGUGCAAGGAAGGCCUUGGGCCUAGUCUCAAAAUCAAAUGAGAUUUCCUGCUUGAACCAGGGCCUAGCUGGGUGUGUCAGCCUGGAGGCAAGGAUAAUAACGAGAAC